CCGGCGCACGGGUGAGUAACACGUAUGGAACCUGCCCUAUGCAGGGGGAUAAGCGGAAGAAAUUCCGUCUAAUACCGCAUAACACCUUUAGGAGACAUCUUCUUGGGGGUCAAAGGAGGCGACUCCGGCAUAGGAUGGCCAUGCGUCGCAUUAGCUAGUCGGCGGGGUAACGGCCCACCGAGGCGACGAUGCGUAGGGGUUCUGAGAGGAGGGUCCCCCACACUGGUACUGAGACACGGACCAGACUCCUACGGAAGGCAGCAG
rnacentral:rRNA from 1 species